CCUGGUGGCUCAGACGGUAAAGCGUCAGCCUGUAAUGCAGGAGACCCAGGUUUGAUCCCUGGGUCAGGA
rnacentral:tRNA from 1 species